rnacentral:rRNA from 1 species
AGAUUGAACGCUGGCGGCGUGCCUAACACAUGCAAGUCGAGCGGCAGCGCGGGAGCAAUCCUGGCGGCGAGCGGCGAACGGGUGAGUAAUGCUUCGGAAUCUGCCCAUGUAGUGGGGAAUAACCAGCCGAAAGGUUGGCUAAUACCGCAUACGACCUACGGGUGAAAGCAGGGGAUCGCAAGACCUUGCGCUAUUGGAUGAGCCGAAGUCGGAUUAGCUAGUUGGUGAGGUAACGGCUCACCAAGGCGACGAUCCGUAGCUGGUCUGAGAGGACGACCAGCCACACUGGGACUGAGACACGGCCCAGACUCCUACGGGAGCAGCAGUGGGGAAUAUUGGACAAGUGGGGCAACCCUGAUCCAGCGACGCCGCGUGUGUGAAG